rnacentral:rRNA from 1 species
AUUGAACGCUGGCGGAAUGCUUUACACAUGCAAGUCGAACGGCAGCACGGGGGCAACCCUGGUAGCGAGUGGCGAACGGGUGAGUAAUACAUCGGAACGUGCCCAGUCGUGGGGGAUAACGUAGCGAAAGUUACGCUAAUACCGCAUACGAUCUACGGAUGAAAGCGGGGGACCGUAAGGCCUCGCGCGAUUGGAGCGGCCGAUGUCAGAUCAGGUAGUUGGUGAGGUAAAGGCUCACCAAGCCGACGAUCUGUAGCCGGUCUGAGAGGACGACCAGCCACACGGGAAGUGAGACCCGGCCCAGAGUCCUACGGGAGGCAGCAGGGGGGAAUUUUGGACAAGGGGCGCAAGCCUGAUCCAGCCAUUCCGCGUGCAGGACGAAGGCCUUCGGGUUGUAAACUGCUUUUGUACGGAACGAAAAGGCUCUGGUUAAUACCUGGGGCUCAUGACGGUACCGUAAGAAUAAGCACCAGCUAACUACGUGCCAGCCGCCGCGGUAA